AGCUUUGCAAUAUGGCGGCCGAGGCGGACGGACCGCUUAAACGGCUGCUCGUGCCGAUUCUUUUACCUGAGAAAUGCUACGACCAACUUUUCGUUCAGUGGGACUUGCUUCACGUCCCCUGCCUCAAGAUUCUCCUCAGCAAAGGCCUGGGGCUGGGCAUUGUGGCUGGCUCACUUCUAGUAAAGCUGCCCCAGGUGUUUAAAAUCCUGGGAGCCAAGAGUGCUGAAGGGUUGAGUCUCCAGUCUGUAAUGCUGGAGCUAGUGGCAUUGACUGGGACCAUGGUCUACAGCAUCACUAACAACUUCCCAUUCAGCUCUUGGGGUGAAGCCUUAUUCCUGAUGCUCCAGACGAUCACCAUCUGCUUCCUGGUCAUGCACUACAGAGGACAGACUGUGAAAGGUGCUGGGGACUUACCCAAGAGCAGGCUGUGUGGUUCCUGGGAACCCUGCUGGGAACUCAGGUCUGGGAAAGCCAAAUGAUGUGGAGAGAUUGACAAGGACUCCUGUCUCCCCACCCCUAGGUGUCGCUUUCCUCGCUUGCUACGGCCUGGUCCUUCUGGUGCUUCUCUCACCUCUGACGCCCUUGACUGUAGUCACCCUGCUCCAGGCCUCCAAUGUGCCUGCUGUGGUGGUGGGGAGGGUGGGUACCAGGAGCAAGGGACAAGAUGUUGGGGGGGCAGGGUGGGGGGGAAGAGUAGAAGAUCAAAGUGUGGGGGUGUUGGACUUGGGGGAGCAUGGGAAGAGCUCAGGUGACAGAGCCAAAGGUCUCAACUCCUCCCCUAGCUUCUCCAGGCAGCCACCAACUACCACAACGGGCACACAGGCCAGCUCUCAGCCAUCACAGUCUUCCUGCUGUUUGGGGGCUCCCUGGCCCGAAUCUUCACUUCCAUUCAGGAAACCGGAGAUCCCCUGAUGGCUGGGACCUUUGUGGUCUCCUCUCUCUGCAACGGCCUCAUCGCCGCCCAGCUGCUCUUCUACUGGAAUGCAAAGCCUCCCCACAAGCAGAAAAAGGCGCAGUAGAGCCAGCUACUGGAGUCAUUCCGUUUCCACUCAUUCACCCAACCUCAGGGUUCUCCCCAUCUGAGCCAGCCUGCUGGUGUGACUUACUCAUCCUCCAUUCCUCUGCACUUGCAGACUUUCUGAGCCAGGGUUUUCUUUUAGUGGAAACAAAUGGUUGAUGGAUCCAGAUCCUUAGAAAAGGAGAGGAUGGGGGUAGAGUCUCCCAAGCCAAAAAUUUGACAUUUGAGUGCUUUCGUAAGCCCUGUACGUGUACUAUUAAUUCAGUCAUUCAGCCAAGCCUCCUCCUCUAGCAGCAAUUUCCAGCUGUUUAACACUAUCCCGGGCAAAUGUUUUACCCUGUCCUCCAGCCUCCCUGCUUCCCUUCUGGCCCUGGAAGACUGAGUCUGGACGGCAGAGUGGAGGGACUGGGAGGCUGUGGCUGCCUCCCUCCCUCAGCCCGGCUGGGACUGUCUCCCGGACCCCAGUGCUGGGGUGGGGGAAGGGGGACGGACAAUGACUCAGGCAGGGCCCCAGGGUGGGGUGAGGAGGUUCCUGCUCUGGCAGGUCUAGGCGGAAGGGAGUGGAGAUGGGGCUGGUUCCUGCUGCAGUGAGGGGAACAGAUGGGACAAUAAAGACUGGAGACUCAG
rnacentral:sRNA from 1 species